CUGGGCCAGUGCAGGCCGAGCCCUGCGUCCCUGCCUCGCUGGGUGGGGGUCCGGGGCGCGGCUGUCCACAGGGCCGCCUCCUCCUGCGGCCCGCGGGGAAGGGGCGCAUCCCACCCCGCUCUGCAGGCCGCCCUUCUGCCAGCUGGGAGGCGAGGGCACACGUCCUAAGGCUGCCCAAGGGGGAGAGGAAUCGCGCCGGUAGGAGAGCGCACGGGAACCAGGAACGCAAGGCGGGCACAGGGGAGCCGAAGGAGCCAGACAGGGCCCGGCCACGCGCCCUCCUCGCUCGGCGGCGCUCCGUGACGGGAACCCAGGCUCCCACGCACGGGGAAUGCCUAGAACGGAGCUACAAUGGAGAUGCAGCCUUUUUGAAAUUUAUUCUUGGCCAAAAGAGGAAGAUAGUUCAAGGAUUCUAUCUUGCUUUUGGGGGGCAAUGGAGAGACCCUGAAAACACUUAA
ensembl:lincRNA